rnacentral:rRNA from 1 species
GACGAACGCUGGCGGCGUGCUUAACACAUGCAAGUCGAACGCUGAAGCUUGGUGCUUGCACUGGGUGGAUGGGUGGCGAACGGGUGAGUAAUACGUGAGUAACCUGCCCUUGACUCUGGGAUAAGCCUGGGAAACUGGGUCUAAUACUGGAUACGACAUGCCACUGCAUGGUGGUGUGUGGAAAGGGUUUUACUGGUUUUGGAUGGGCUCACGGCCUAUCAGCUUGUUGGUGGGGUAAUGGCCUACCAAGGCGACGACGGGUAGCCGGCCUGAGAGGGUGACCGGCCACACUGGGACUGAGACACGGCCCAGACUCCUACGGGAGGCAGCAGUGGGGAAUAUUGCACAAUGGGCGGAAGCCUGAUGCAGCGACGCCGCGUGAGGGAUGACGGCCUUCGGGUUGUAAACCUCUUUCAGCACGGAAGAAGCGAGAGUGACGGUACGUGCAGAAGAAGCGCCGGCUAACUACGUG